UACGAAGGGGGCUAGCGUUGUUCGGAAUUACUGGGCGUAAAGCGCACGUAGGCGGGUUGUUAAGUCAGGGGUGAAAUCCUGGAGCUCAACUCCAGAACUGCCUUUGAUACUGGCAACCUAGAGACUGGAAGAGGUGAGUGGAAUUCCUAGUGUAGAGGUGAAAUUCGUAGAUAUUAGGAAGAACACCAGUGGCGAAGGCGGCUCACUGGUCCGGUACUGACGCUGAGGUGCGAAAGCGUGGGGAGCAAACAGG
rnacentral:rRNA from 1 species